AUUGCACAAUGGGGGAAACCCUGAUGCAGCAACGCCGCGUGAAGGAAGACGGUUUUCGGAUUGUAAACUUCUAUCAAUAGGGAAGAAAGAAAUGACGGUACCUAAAUAAGAAGCCCCGGCUAACUACGUGCCAGCAGCCGCGGUAAUACGUAGGGGGCAAGCGUUAUCCGGAUUUACUGGGUGUAAAGGGAGCGUAGACGGAGCAGCAAGUCUGAUGUGAAAGACCGGGGCUUAACCCCGGGCCUGCAUUGGAAACUGUUGAUCUUGAGUGCCGGAGGGGUAAGCGGAAUUCCUGGUGUAGCGGUGAAAUGCGUAGAUAUCAGGAGGAACACCGGUGGCGAAGGCGGCUUACUGGACGGCAACUGACGUUGAGGCUCGAAAGCGUGGGGAGCAA
rnacentral:rRNA from 1 species